rnacentral:rRNA from 1 species
CACGUAGGGCGCAAGCGUUGUCCGGAAUUAUUGGGCUAAAGAGCUCGUAGGCGGUCUGUUACGUCUGCUGUGAAAACCCAGGGCUUAACCCUGGGCUUGCAGUGGAUACGGGCAGACUAGAGGCAGGUAGGGGAGAAUGGAAUUCCCGGUGUAGCGGUGAAAUGCGCAGAUAUCGGGAGGAACACCGGUGGCGAAGGCGGUUCUCUGGGCCUGACCUGACGCUGAGGAGCGAAAGCGUGGGGAGCGAACAGG